GUGGGGAAUUUUGCGCAAUGGGCGAAAGCCUGACGCAGCAACGCCGCGUGGAGGAUGAAGGCCUUCGGGUCGUAAACUCCUGUCAGGGGGGACGAAAGCCGCGCAAGCGGUUUGACUGUACCCUCUGAGGAAGCCACGGCUAACUCCGUGCCAGCAGCCGCGGUAAUACGGAGGUGGCAAGCGUUGUUCGGAAUUACUGGGCGUAAAGGGCGCGUAGGCGGCUUGGCAAGUCAGAUGUGAAAGCCCCGGGCUUAACUUGGGAAUUGCAUCUGAAACUGCUUUGCUUGAGUCCUGGAGGGGGUAGUGGAAUUCCCAGUGUAGCGGUGAAAUGCGUAGAUAUUGGGAGGAACACCUGCGGCGAAGGCGGCUACCUGGACAGUGACUGACGCUGAGGCGCGAAAGCUAGGGGAGCAAACGGGAUUAGAAACCCGAGUAGUCC
rnacentral:rRNA from 1 species